AUUGAACGCUGGCGGCAUGCUUUACACAUGCAAGUCGAACGGCAGCACGGGUGCUUGCACCUGGUGGCGAGUGGCGAACGGGUGAGUAAUGCAUCGGAACGUGCCCAUGAGUGGGGGAGUAGCCCGGCCGAAAGACCGGAUUAAUACCGCAUACGCCCUUACGGGGGAAAGGACGGGGAGUCUUCGGACCUCGCGCUAUUGGAGCGGCCGAUGUCGGAUUAGCUAGUAGGUGAGGUAAAGGCUCACCUAGGCGACGAUCCGUAGCUGGUCUGAGAGGAUGAUCAGCCACACUGGGACUGAGACACGGCCCAGACUCCUACGGGAGGCAGCAGUGGGGAAUUUUGGACAAUGGGCGCAAGCCUGAUCCAGCCAUGCCGCGUGAGUGAAGAAGGCC
rnacentral:rRNA from 1 species